rnacentral:rRNA from 2 species
AUGGACGCAAGUCUGAUGGAGCAACGCCGCGUGAGUGAAGAAGGCUUUCGGGUCGUAAAACUCUGUUGUUGGAGAAGAAUGGUCGGCAGAGUAACUGUUGCCGGCGUGACGGUAUCCAACCAGAAAGCCACGGCUAACUACGUGCCAGCAGCCGCGGUAAUACGUUGGUGGCAAGCGUUAUCCGGAUUUAUUGGGCGUAAAGCGAGCGCAGGCGGUUUUUUAAGUCUGAUGUGGAAGCCCUCGGCUUAACCGAGGAAGCGCAUCGGAAACUGGGAAACUUGAGUGCAGAAGAGGACAGUGGAACUCCAUGUGCAGCGGUGAAAUGCGUAGAUAUAUGGAAGAACACCAGUGGCGAAGGCGGCUGUCUGGUCUGUAACUGACGCUGAGGCUCGAAAGCAUGGGUAGCGAACAGGAUUAGAUACCCUGGUAGUCCAUGCCGUAAACGAUGAAUGCUAGGUGUUGGAGGGUUUCCGCCCUUCAGUGCCGCAGCUAACGCAUUAAGCAUUCCGCCUGGGGAGUACGACCGCAAGGUUGAAACUCAAAGGAAUUGACGGGGGCCCGCACAAGCGGUGGAGCAUGUGGUUUAAUUCGAAGCAACGCGAAGAACCUUACCAGGUCUUGACAUCUUUUGAUCACCUGAGAGAUCAGGUUUCCCCUUCGGGGGCAAAUGACAGGUGGUGCAUGGUUGUCGUCAGCUCGUGUCGUGAGAUGUGG